rnacentral:lncRNA from 12 species
GAAGGAGCAGGAUUCUGAGAUGAUGGGGCCUGGGCUACCUGGUGCUUAGGAACUUUGGGGAGUUUGAGAUUACCCUCCUGGUGCUUGAAGCCAUGAACCUCAGCGGACCUGCUUUCCCUGGGUGCACCUGACACUCUUCACCCCCAACCAGAGCCGAACCGAGGGCCCACGUUUCCUCAGGCUUCAGCAACACUUGUGUGGAUGAGGUCCCAGCAACAGCAGCACCUAGGAUUCUACAGGCAGGUUACGACUGCCCAGAUGAUGUCCGCAAGACCUCCAACCUCUCCAGCUACAUCCGCAUGGCUCUAGGAGCCUCAUGUACAGACCUGAGAACAGUCUUCCUAGAUUCCUUGUCCAGCAUUCUUUUGCCCAGCCUCAUUGCUUGAGGCUGCCAACCAACACUGAUAAAGCACAGCAUGAAGACCAGCUUAGAAGUGCUACUUCUUGGGACACCUGGGUGGCUCAGCAGUUAAGCGGCUGCCUUUGGCUCGGGGCGUAAUCCUGGAGUCCUGGGAUCGAGUCCCACAACGGGCUCCCUGCAGGGAGCCUGCUUCUGUCUCUGCUUUUCUCUCUGUGUAUCCCUCAUGAAUAAAUAAAUAAAAUCUUAAAAAAUAAAAAAAAGA